CUCUGCCCAUUUCACAGGUGAGGAAACCAAAUCUGUGUUAGUCCACAGUCAGAAGUGGACUUGCCCAAGACCGCUCUCCGGAUAUAAAGCGGAGACAAAGAACGGGCGAUUUGACUCCACCGCUCCUAAGCCCUUGAGCACCAUCAAAGGUCAACUUUCCGACCCCAACACAGGACAAGAGCGGCUGCACCCACGCGGAGGUGCUUCAGAACUCCGCUUCUCGCUGGGUGGGCAAGACAGGAAAUCAUUAACCAGGGACGCGAGGCCCGAGGAGGCAGAGACUGGAACAAGGUCACGUAGUUGCUGCCAGGUUGGGGGCGGACUCCUGAAUCCCGCGGGACCACUGUGGGCGCCAGAACCGGAGUCCACUGGCUCAGAGGCGGGGGUGCUCAGCCCGCCGAGGUCAGGCCUACGAGCAGGUCCGCAGGGCCCCGGGUGCUAGCCGCGACGCCAAGGCUGAAGGACUCUUCAGCUACGCCAAGAUCGCCACCACUGAUGCCUGGGUCAUCAAAAGGAUGCCAGAGAUGAGAUCACAGCAGAAGUUGCCUCUUUGGAACUAAAGCACAUCGGGAAUGGCAGCUGGCAAGAAUGAAACUCAUGAGGAGUGCAGAACCUCCUGGUAGGAUGAGCUUAGCCUGUGGACUCCCACACUAAGAAGCCUGGCGUGGGAUUACAAAUCCAAGGCCAAUCUGGGCAACUCAGGGAAACCCUGUCUCAGAAUAAAAUUAAAAAUGCUAGAGUUCA